rnacentral:rRNA from 1 species
AGCAGCCGCGGUAAUUCCAGCUCCAAUAGCGUAUAUUAAAGUUGUUGCAGUUAAAAAGCUCGUAGUUGAAUUUCGGGGUUCUACCGUUGGUCGGGCUAACCAGUCUGUACUAGCGUGUAGAAUUCCUACCUUCUGGGGAACCAUCAUGUUAUUAAUUUAGCGUGGUGGGAAACCAGGACCUUUACCUUGAAAAAAUUAGAGUGUUCAAAGCAGGCUUACGUCUGAAUACAUUAGCAUGGAAUAAUAAAAUAGGACGGUGGUCCUGUUUUGUUGGUUUCUGAAUCACCGUAAUGAUUAAUAGGGAUAGUUGGGGGCAUUAGUAUUCAAUUGUCAGAGGUGAAAUUCUUGGAUUUAUUGAAGACUAACUUCUGCGAAAGCAUUUGCCAAGGAUGUUUUCAUUAAUCAAGAACGAAAGUUAGGGGAUCGAAGACGAUCAGAUACCGUCGUAGCCUUAACCAUAAACUAUGCCGACUAGGGAUCGGACGAUGUUAAAUUUUAUUGACUCGUUCGCGCCUUACGG